CGCCCGACUCCGCCCCCGCCCUCGUUCCCGCCCUCCGCGUGGCCACAAUAUCAUGCGCAUGCGCGACUUCAGCGGGCAGUAGGCCCUCGCGCGGUCUCGCAGGGGACUCUCAGGAGAGACAUCCUUGGUCUUGGAAGUGUUUGAGCUGGUGCCUAAGGACUCAUCUGAGGGAAGAAAAGAAUUCAGUUGAGGCUCUGCCAGGUGAGAGAGCCCCAGAGGUCCUGCCACCAGAAAGCUUGAAGCCUCGAGUUCUAGAGUGGGGGCGCUGAGCUCACAGUUGUAGGAGUCGGGGAAGAGCAGAAAUCUGCCAGAAAUCUGCCUCUGAUCCUUGACCAGCCCAAGCCUCUGCAGCUGACUUAGAAGCUUCCAGGUUGGUUUGUUUGUUUAACCGAGGGCUGACUUUUAAUUGACUGCCACAUUCCAGAGUUUGGCAGGGAAGGUGAUUAAUGGGGUUGGCAGCAGGAGGUGGAGUCGGAGGAAGUCAAAAGAACUCCAAGAUGAGAGAAAUGAAUUGCAGUAG